GUACUUACUUCGACAGCACAUACACUAAAAUUGGAACGAUACAGUGAAGAUUGGCACUGCCUGUGCGCGAGGAUGGCACGAAAAAUCGUGAAGCAUUCCACAUUUUU